GCCCACGGCCAUGCCGCCCUGAACAAGCCUGAUCCUGUCUGAUCUCGGAAGCUAAGCAGAGUUGGGCCCAGUUAGUACUUGGAUGGGAGACCACCUAGGAAGACCAGGUGCUGUAGGCG
rnacentral:rRNA from 1 species